GACGUAGGAGGCGAGCGUUAUCCGGAUUUACUGGGUGUAAAGCGCGUGCAGGCGGUUGGUUAAGUUGGAUGUGAAAGCUCCUGGCUCAACUGGGAGAGGUCGUUCAAGACUGACUGACUGGAGAGCAGUAAGGGAAGGUGGAAUUCCGGGUGUAGUGGUGAAAUGCGUAGAUAUCCGGAGGAACACCAGUGGCGAAGGCGGCCUUCUGGACUGCUUCUGACGCUCAGACGCGAAAGCUAGGGGAGCAAACGGG
rnacentral:rRNA from 1 species